rnacentral:rRNA from 1 species
ACGAACGCUGGCGGCGUGCUUAACCCCUGCAAGUCGAACGGAAAGGCCCUGCUUUUGUGGGGUGCUCGAGUGGCGAACGGGUGAGUAACACGUGAGUAACCUGCCCUUGACUUUGGGAUAACUUAAGGAAACUGGGGCUAAUACCGGAUAGGAGCUCCUGCUGCAUGGUGGGGGUUGGAAAGUUUCGGCGGUUGGGGAUGGACUCGCGGCUUAUCAGCUUGUUGGUGGGGUAGUGGCUUACCAAGGCUUUGACGGGUAGCCGGCCUGAGAGGGUGACCGGCCACAUUGGGACUGAGAUACGGCCCAGACUCCUACGGGAGGCAGCAGUGGGGAAUAUUGCACAAUGGGCGGAAGCCUGAUGCAGCAACGCCGCGUGCGGGAUGACGGCCUUCGGGUUGUAAACCGCUUUCGCCUGUGACGAAGCGUGAGUGACGGUAAUGGGUAAAGAAGCACCGGCUAACUACGUG